rnacentral:rRNA from 1 species
GACGAACGCUGGCGGCGUGCCUAAUACAUGCAAGUAGAACGCUGAAGAGAGGAGCUUGCUCUUCUUGGAUGAGUUGCGAACGGGUGAGUAACGCGUAGGUAACCUGCCUUGUAGCGGGGGAUAACUAUUGGAAACGAUAGCUAAUACCGCAUAACAAUGGAUGACACAUGUCAUUUAUUUGAAAGGGGCAAUUGCUCCACUACAAGAUGGACCUGCGUUGUAUUAGCUAGUAGGUGAGGUAAUGGCUCACCUAGGCGACGAUACAUAGCCGACCUGAGAGGGUGAUCGGCCACACUGGGACUGAGACACGGCCCAGACUCCUACGGGAGGCAGCAGUAGGGAAUCUUCGGCAAUGGGGGCAACCCUGACCGAGCAACGCCGCGUGAGUGAAGAAGGUUUUCGGAUCGUAAAGCUCUGUUGUAAGUCAAGAACGGGUGUGAGAGUGGAAAGUACACACUGUGACGGUAGCUUACCAGAAAGGGACGGCUAACUACGUG